rnacentral:misc_RNA from 1 species
GAUGAAGAACGUAGCGAAAUGCGAUAAGUAGUGUGAAUUGCAGAAUUCAGUGAAUCAUCGAAUCUUUGAACGCACAUUGCGCCCCUUGGUAUCCCGAGGGGCAUGCCUGUUCGAGCGUCAUUUCACCACUCAAGCCUGGCUUGGUGUUGGGCGACGUCCUCUUUGGGGACGCGCCUCGAAACGCUCGGCGGCGUGGCACCGGCUUUAAGCGUAGCAGGAUCUUUCGCUUUGGAAGUCGGGGCCCCGUCUGCCGGAAGACCUGCUCGCAAGGUUGACCUCGGAUCAGGCAGGGAUACCCGCUGAACUUAAGCAUAUCAAUAAGCGGAGGA